UACGGAGGAUGCAAGCGUUAUCCGGAAUGAUUGGGCGUAAAGGGUCCGCAGGUGGCAAUGUGUGUCUGCUGUCAAAGAAUGAGGCUUAACCUCAUCAAGGCAGUGGAAACUACAUAGCUAGAGUACGGUCGGGGUAGAAGGAAUUCCUGGUGUAGCGGUGAAAUGCGUAGAGAUCAGGAAGAACACCCGUGGCGAAAGCGGCUCUCUGGAACGAUACUGACGCUGAGACGCGAAAGCGUGGGGAGCGAACAGG
rnacentral:rRNA from 1 species